rnacentral:tRNA from 1 species
AUUUUAGUGUACGUUGCAUAUGAAAUUUUGAUUUUCAAGGGUUAGUUAAAUUCUUUAAAAUAUAA